GACGAACGCUGGCGGCGUGCUUAACACAUGCAAGUCGAACGGAAAGGCCCUGCUUUUGUGGGGUGCUCGAGUGGCGAACGGGUGAGUAACACGUGAGUAACCUGCCCUUGACUUUGGGAUAAAUUCAGGAAAAUGGGGCUAAUACCGGAUAGGAGCUCCUGCUGCAUGGUGGGGGUUGGAAAGUUUCGGCGGUUGGGGAUGGACUCGCGGCUUAUCAGCUUGUUGGUGGGGUAGUGGCUUACGAAGUGUUUGACGGGUAGCCGGCCUGAGAGGUUGACCGGCGACAUGAGGCCUGCGAUACGCCGCAGACUGCAACGGGAGGCAGCAGUCGGGAAUAUGGCACAAUGGGCGGAAGCGUGAUGCAGCAACGCUGCGUGCGGGAUGACGGCUUUCGGGUUGUAAACCACUUUCGCCUGAGACGAAGCGUGAGUGACGGUAAUGGGUAAAGAAGCACCGGCUAACUACGUG
rnacentral:rRNA from 1 species